GCUUACACAUGCAAGUCGAACGAUGAAGCCCUUCGGGGUGGAUUAGUGGCGAACGGGUGAGUAACACGUGGGCAAUCUGCCCUUCACUCUGGGACAAGCCCUGGAAACGGGGUCUAAUACCGGAUAAUACCUGCCUGGGCAUCUGGGUGGGUUAAAAGCUCCGGCGGUGAAGGAUGAGCCCGCGGCCUAUCAGCUUGUUGGUGAGGUAGUGGCUCACCAAGGCGACGACGGGUAGCCGGCCUGAGAGGGCGACCGGCCACACUGGGACUGAGACACGGCCCAGACUCCUACGGGAGGCAGCAGUGGGGAAUAUUGCACAAUGGGCGAAAGCCUGAUGCAGCGACGCCGCGUGAGGGAUGACGGCCUUCGGGUUGUAAACCUCUUUCAGCAGGGAAGAAGCGAAAGUGACGGUACCUGCAGAAGAAGCGCCGGCUAACUACGUGCCAGCAGCCGCGGUAAUACGUAGGGCGCAAGCGUUGUCCGGAAUUAUUGGGCGUAAAGAGCUCGUAGGCGGCUUGUCACGUCGGUUGUGAAAGCCCGGGGCUUAACCCCGGGUCUGCAGUCGAUACGGGCAGGCUAGAGUGUGGUAGGGGAGAUCGGAAUUCCUGGUGUAGCGGUGAAAUGCGCAGAUAUCAGGAGGAACACCGGUGGCGAAGGCGGAUCUCUGGGCCAUUACUGACGCUGAGGAGCGAAAGCGUGGGGAGCGAACAGGAUUAGAUACCCUGGUAGUCCACGCCGUAAACGGUGGGAACUAGGUGUUGGCGACAUUCCACGUCGUCGGUGCCGCAGCUAACGCAUUAAGUUCCCCGCCUGGGGAGUACGGCCGCAAGGCUAAAACUCAAAGGAAUUGACGGGGGCCCGCACAAGCAGCGGAGCAUGUGGCUUAAUUUGACGCAACGCGAAGAACCUUACCAAGGCUUGACAUCGCCCGGAAAGCAUCAGAGAUGGUGCCCCCCUUGUGGUCGGGUGACAGGUGGUGCAUGGCUGUCGUCAGCUCGUGUCGUGAGAUGUUGGGUUAAGUCCCGCAACGAGCGCAACCCUUGUUCUGUGUUGCCAGCAUGCCCUUCGGGGUGAUGGGGACUCACAGGAGACUGCCGGGGUCAACUCGGAGGAAGGUGGGGAGGACGUCAAGUCAUCAUGCCCCUUAUGUCUUGGGCUGCACACGUGCUACAAUGGCAGGUACAAUGAGCUGCGAUGCCGCGAGGCGGAGCGAAUCUCAAAAAGCCUGUCUCAGUUCGGAUUGGGGUCUGCAACUCGACCCCAUGAAGUCGGAGUUGCUAGUAAUCGCAGAUCAGCAUUGCUGCGGUGAAUACGUUCCCGGGCCUUGUACACACCGCCCGUCACGUCACGAAAGUCGGUAACACCCGAAGCCGGUGGCCCAACCCCCUUGUGGGGAGGGAGCUGUCGAAGGUGGGACUGGCGAUUGGGACGAAGUCGUAACAUGC
rnacentral:rRNA from 1 species